rnacentral:rRNA from 1 species
AACGAACGCUGGCGGCAUGCCUAACACAUGCAAGUCGAACGAGACCUUCGGGUCUAGUGGCGCACGGGUGCGUAACGCGUGGGAAUCUGCCCUUGGGUUCGGAAUAACAGUUAGAAAUAACUGCUAAUACCGGAUGAUGUCUUCGGACCAAAGAUUUAUCGCCCAGGGAUGAGCCCGCGUCGGAUUAGCUAGUUGGUAGGGUAGAAGCCUACCAAGGCGACGAUCCGUAGCUGGUCUGAGAGGAUGAUCAGCCACACUGGGACUGAGACACGGCCCAGACUCCUACGGGAGGCAGCAGUGGGGAAUAUUGGACAAUGGGCGAAAGCCUGAUCCAGCAAUGCCGCGUGAGUGAUGAAGGCCUUAGGGUUGUAAAGCUCUUUUACCCGGGAUGAUAAUGACAGUACCGGGAGAAUAAGCCCCGGCUAACUCCGUGCCAGCAGCCGCGGUAACAC